rnacentral:lncRNA from 1 species
GGUCUCUGAAUAAGGUAGCUUUCUUGGGGUCUCACUUGAGUGGGAAGCCAUCUGACAUCCAUCUGCCUGGUCUGUUUUUCAGUUAUCCUCACUGCGAUUUGCCAGCAGGAUGAAGCUGGUCACCACUGAGCCUGCCAUCAAUGAAAAGUACAAUGCUGAGAGACUGGUGGACCUCAGUACCCAGAUGAUCUGGCUGGAUGAGGACUAUAUUAAGAAAGCCAGUGGGGCUGUGAACUGGUCACUAGUCCCAGGAUCCAGGUGUCGGGGGCUCCCUCCAGUGGCCACUUUGUGACAACAAAAGAAAACCCUGUUCACAGUGAAGGUUCUCAACAUCUUUUAUGAAAGACAUUCAGGUAAUAUCUAUCAAAUGAUGUAAAUGACUUAACAAUUCUGCCU